rnacentral:rRNA from 1 species
UCUUACGGGAGGCAGCAGUGGGGAAUUUUGGACAAUGGGGGCAAGCCUGAUCCAGCCAUGCCGCGUGCGGGAAGAAGGCCUUCGGGUUGUAAGGCGCUUUUUCAGGGAAGAAAAGGUGCGCGCUAAUACCGUGCGUUCAUGACGUACCGAGU